rnacentral:lncRNA from 1 species
GUACCUGGAUUAAGCAAUAUAAUACCCAAAAUUUAUACUCCAAAUUUGACUCGUUUAGACUCUCUCCGUUCAAUCUAAAUAAUUUAAUAAAAUUUUAUUACAAUCAAAUCAUUAAUAACAUAAUAAUAUUAAAUUAUUAUUACAAACUUUUACAACUAUGUCGGCAAAAUGAAUAAAUUUAAAUUAAUAUACAUAACUUUAAAUUAAUGAAAUAUAAUAUAUAUAUAUAUAUAUAUGUGUGUGUGUGAGAGAGAGAGAGAUUUCUCCUGCAGCUUACUGCUGCAAGCAUUCGCAUGGCAUAUAUAUAUAAUAUAUAUAUAUAUAUAUAUAAAAUAUAUAACCUAAUGAAUCUAUACCUGCCAACAUCAAAUGCACAGCUUUUAAAAAAAUAAUGUGAUUCGUAUAUAAUAACUUAAACAUGCACUUCACUGUUUUCGAUUGAAUGAGUACCUGGUUUCACUGACCAAAUAAUAAAACUGUGAUCCUCCUCCUUUUGCAAGUCACAACUCAGCCGCAAGUAUUCUUUUCUUUCUCUCCCAAACUCGUAUUAGGCGUAUUGUUUAAGUGAAUUAGGUUUAGUUAUUUAUUCAUUAAAAAAUAGAUUUUAUUAAUUAAUAUAUUUAUUAACUCUCCAAAUUUUAAUAGGAUUUUAAAAUUACACAAUUAUUAAUUUGACCCACUUAAUUUAAAGCCCAAUUUUACCUAUUUAAUUUACCCAUCACUUAUUAUUACAUUAGCCCACAAAAAUUAAAUGAUUAUUUUGACCCAAAAUAAAUGACAUCCAAAAAUAUGUUUUAAAACAAGGUAAUUUUAUUAUUUAAUAUUAUUUUUUUUUUUUUCGGGUAUUACAUCACCUACCCCUUAAAAAGGAUUCCGUCCCCGGAAUCAAAAGAAUGGAACGUACCUAAUUUUCAAAGAGAUGCGGAUACUCCGCUCGAAUAGACUCCUCCAUCUCCCAAGUGGCUUCCCGCUCCGAAUGAUUCCUCCACAAAACCUUAACAAACGGAAUAGUUUUCCUCCUCAUGAUCCUUUCUUGACGAUCCAAAAUCGCCUCAGCUUGUUCCUCACAAGUAAGAUCCUCUCGAAUCUUAUCGAACGGAUAUUGCACCACGUGCAACGGAUGAUAAUGAUAACUCCUCAACACCGACACAUGGAACACAUUAUGCACGUGAGCUAGCUGUGGAGGCAAAGCUAACCGAUAUGCAACCUCACCAACCCUCUCCAGAAUCUCAAAUGGUCCAAUAUAACGCGGACUAAGUUUCCCUUUCAACCCAAAUCGCCGAAUACCCUUCCAAGGAGAAACUUUUAGAAACACAUGCUCACCAGGUUCAAACUCUAAAGUCCUUCUAUGCUUAUCAGCAUAACACUUCUGCCGUGAUCGAGCCGACUUCAAUUUCUCCUUAGCCACCGCUACCUUCUCCGUAGUGAUUUGAACCAACUCAGGCCCUUCUAUGGCCCUUUUGCCAACCUCAUCCCAACAAGUUGGUGCCCGACAUUUCCUACCAUAUAAUGCCUCAAAAGGAGCCAUCCCAAUACUUGCGUGCCAACUAUUGUUGUAAGCAAACUCAACUAGGCUCAAGUAAUCAUCCCAAUUACCCGACCACUCAAGUGCACAAGACCUCAACAUGUCCUCCAACGUCUGAAUAGUCCGCUUGGGUUGCCCAUCAGUUUGCGGAUGAAAAGAAGUACUGAAGUUGAGCCAAGUACCCCAAGCUUGUUGAAACCCUUUCCAGAACCGUGAAGUGAACCGUGGGUCCCGAUCUGAAACAGUAGACACCGGAGUACCAUGAAGUCUAACAAUCUCCUGCUGAAAGAUAUGUGCCAACCUAUCCACCGAGUAACUCUCAUGGAUAGCCAAAAAGUGUGUCGAUUUGGUCAACCGGUCCACCACUACCCAUAUGGCAUCAUUCUUCCUGAAAGUCUUCGGCAACCCAGUCACAAAAUCCAUCGUGAUAUCCUCCCACUUCCACACUGGAAUGUCUAACUGUUGCAGCAAACCACUAGCUCGUUGAUGUUCUAUCUUCACUUGUUGACAAGUGAGGCACUUCCCAACAUAUUCAGCCACGUCUCGUUUCAUCCCAUUCCACCAAAAAUUCUUCUUCAAAUCUCUAUACAUCUUUGUAGAACCUGGAUGAAUAGAAAAUGGCGAACUAUGAGCUUCAGCCAACACCGCCUCCCGAAUGAUUGGAUCUGACGGUACACACAACCGCUCACCCAACCAAAUCACACCAUGGUCAUCAACACGAAACUCAGACUGCUUGCCCUCCUCUAGAUUCUGCGUCAAACCCCACAACUCCCCAUCUUCCUUUUGAGCUUCUUUGACCCGCGAGAUAAGAGAGGGCUCCACUCUCAUACCCGCCAAAUGCCCAUCUGAACCUCGUAUAUACAACUCCAACUCGAUCCGCUCCAUAUCUGAAAUAAGCUGAGGUUGCGUAAUAAGGGCUGCAACACUUCCUGAACUCUUCCGGCUAAGAGCAUCUGCAACCACAUUUGCCUUCCCCGGGUGAUACUGAAUCCUCGCAUCAUAAUCUUUUAGUAGCUCCAACCAACGCCUUUGCCUCAUAUUGAGCUCCUUCUGAGUGAAAAUGUAUUUAAGACUUUUGUGAUCGGUGAAGAUAUCACAAGUCUCUCCAUACAAAUAAUGCCUCCAAAUCUUUAAGGCAAAGAUCACCGCUGCCAACUCCAAAUCAUGUGUGGGGUAAUUCACCUCGUAAGGUUUAAGCUGCCUAGAAGCAUAAGCAAUCACCUUACCGUGUUGCAUCAAAACACACCCCAAGCCCUUCUUAGAAGCAUCACUAUAAAUUUGGUAACCUCCUAUCCCCGACGGCAAUGCAAGUAUAGGGGCUGUCACAAGCCAUUUCUUUAACUCCUCAAAACUUUUCUCGCGCUCCUCAUUCCACACAAACUUCACGCCCUUUCUCAUCAACUGAGUCAAUGGUAAGGCAAGCAAGGAAAACCCUUCCAUAAACCGCCUGUAAUACCCUGCCAAACCCAAGAAACUCCUAAUCUCCUUGGCCAUUUGGUGAUAGCCUCAACCUUCGCAGGAUCCACCUUAAUGCCUUCAGCAGAAACAACAUGUCCCAAAAAUGCAACCUGUUCCAACCAAAACUCGCAUUUAGAGAAUUUAGCAUACAACUUCUCUUUCUGCAAAAUCCCUAACACUGUGCGAAGAUGCUCCUCAUGCUCUUCUUUAGACUUAGAGUAAACCAAAAUGUCAUCAAUAAAGACAAUGAUAAAUUGGUCCAAGUACUCCCUGAACACCCGAUUCAUCAAAUCCAUAAACACCGCCGGAGCGUUAGUCACACCGAAUGGCAUCACCAGAAACUCGUAAUGCCCAUAUCGGGUACGAAAAGCCGUCUUAGGGAUAUCCUCAUCCCUCACCCUCAACUGAUGAUAUCCCGACCUCAAGUCUAUCUUCGAAAAAUACUUUGCCCCCUGAAGUUGGUCAAGCAAGUCAUCAAUCCUCGGCAAUGGAUACCGAUUCCUGAUGGUGAUCUUGUUCAAUUCCUUGUAGUCUAUACACAGCCUCAUAGACCCAUCCUUCUUCUUCACAAACAAGAUUGGAGCACCCCACGGCGAAACACUCGGUCGAAUCACACCACGAUCUAACAGUUCCUGCAACUGCUCCUUCAACUCCUACAACUCCAACGGUGCCAUCCGACACGGCGCCUUAGAGAUAGGCUCCGCACCAGGAACAAGCUCAAUAGCAAAUUCCACUUCCCGCUGUGGUGGCAACCCUGACAACUCCUCAGGAAACACAUCGGAAAAGUCACGGAAAAUUGGAACAUCCUCAAUAUGAGACUCACCCUUAGAGGUAUCUUUCACAAAUGCCAAAUACCCAUCACAACCCUUUGCCACCAACUUUUCAGCCUUCAAAGCCGAAAUUAAUUUCACCACCCUACUCGGCUGAGAACCCUGAUACACGAAUUCUGGAGACUUCACAUCUCCAAAUAUAACCUUCUUCGCCUGACAAUCUAUAGUGGCCUGGUGCUUAUCCAACCAGUCCAUCCCAAGAAUGAUAUCGAAAUCGUGCAUACACAUCAGAAGGAGAUUAACGCUACGAAUCUUAUCCCCAAAAUUGAUCGGACAUCCUCGAUACAAAUCAGAAAUAACUACAGAAGUCCCCAUCGGGGUAGCAAUAGACAUCACAGAAUCUAAAGACUGAGAUGGCACACUCAGGUGCCGAACAAAAGACUGAGCAACAAUGGAAUGAGUAGAACCCGUAUCAAACAAAAUAGAUGCCUCACGAUUGCCAACUAAAAGAGUACCAGAAACAGUACCUGGUGUACUUGCCGCCUGGUUAUGCGUCAAAGCAAACACUCGACCGCCCUGACGCUGACCUCCAUUGCCACCAUUAUCGCCACCUCCACCAUUUCCACGUGGCCCAGCACAAUCCCUAGCAAUGUGACCUAUCUGUCCACACAAGAACCAUGCACCAGUGAGUCUGUGGCACUGCCUCCCCGGAUGAUUAGCCCCACAAGUAGCACAAGGAGCUAUCGGAAUAAGAUUCUGGUUACCCCCACCAGCUGGUCCUGGGUAACGACCCUGAUUUUUCCCCUGCGGACGAUUCUGUCCCUGCUGACGAUUUUGUCCAUACCAAGGUAACUGAAGCUGACGAUUCUGCCCUUGCUGAGGCAUCUGCUGAUAACCCUUGUUCUGAUUCUGACCACGCCACUGCCCCUGCUGAAAACCACGAUUUCUGUUCCACUGACCACCUUGAUUUCUCCCAUGCUGACCCGAAGCUUGACCCUGCUGGUCAUCUCUGUCCCUCUUCCGACUCCCUUCCGGUUUGGAAGUCCGAAAGUCCUGCCGCUCCAUCUCAAUGUUCUGGGCCGCAUUAGCCACCGCCGAUACAUCCGUAAACUUGGUGUUAAUGAGAUGUUGGCGAUACCUAUAAUGAAUCCGCCACUUGAACUUUUCCGCCUGUUCUGCUGCAGUCCUGCAGACGUUCCCGCAAAACCUGCCAACCUGGUGAACCUGGUAAUGAAAUCGGUAAUGGACUCAUCAUCCUUCUGCCGAAUGGAUAGAUACUCUCUAGCAUAGGCCUCUUUAUCAGCAGCUGGAAAGUACUGCUGAUAAAAGACCUCACAAAACUCUGCCCAAUGAAGUGUCUCCACGUACCCAUCACCCUUGGUUGUCUUCAGUGCUUUCCACCACCUCUGUGCAUCCCCCUCUAGCUUGUAAGCAGCAAGCAACACUCUUUGAUUAUCUGAGCAUCCCAACACAUCAAAAAUCUUCUCUAGGUGAGCAAUCCAAUUUUCCGCAUCAAUUGGAGUUGGAGCAGAACUGAAAGACUGUGGCUUCUGCUUCUGAAACCUCUCCAACCACACAUACAUUGGAACCACCUGCUGAUCAAGGCCAUCCACAUUUCCUUCCUCUUCGUUUGUUUGUGGACCAUUAUUUCCCGAGUGCCCCUGCUCAGGAAUUUCUGGCGGCUGUUGCAUUGCCUGUACAACCUGUGCCACCAACUGCGGUAAAGCCUGAUUCACCAAGUUAACCAGUUGAGCAUUUAUCUGAUUAUUAGGUUGCUCAUUGGGCUGAACAUCACCCCUUCCCUUAUUGUUACCUCUCCUCCCAGCAACUCUAGCGGAUCGACGAGCCAUCUAAGAAAGAGAUCAAUGAAUAUAAACAGAACAGAUUAAAACAGAUUCGAAUAUAGCUAAACAAAAAAUCAAACUGAACAAAAACCUAACCCAGAAGUCAACCCAUAACUCACAGGUCAAACCUAAAUAGAUUUUCUACAAGAAAGAACCUGACUCUGAUACCAACUCUGUAACACCCCCUUUCCAAAAUAGAAAGGGAGGUUACUCAAAACACAACAAAACUGAAAUGAAAGCUUUAUGUCAUAAAAGGAUGGCCUCAUAAUAAUUAAAUAUCACAAGAUAAACUAUAGUAAAUAUCCCACUAACUCAAACCAUAGCCGAAGGUAAUUAUUACAAUUUCAAAUAAACUGACAUAUCAAUCCUAAACAUAAUAACUCUAAUCCAUUGGAAUGAAUGGAGCUCUCAUCACACUUGCCCAUGAUUCCCCUGAUUACCUGCCGGAAGAAAAACACAGCAUGAGCCAAAUGCCCAGUACGGAUAUAGAAUACAAUUAAUGAACCGAAAUAACUAACUCAAUUAAAUGAAAUGAGAUGGAAUGAACUGAAACGAAACGAAUAGAACUAACACAAUAAAAUGGUAGGCUGAAUCAAAUGGCUAGGUGUUAUUUCAUACCGAGCUCAAAAUAAAUAAUAACAUAUCUUGCCACACAGGCAAGUCAAAUAAUGCCACACAGGCAAUCAAACUAAUGCCACAUAGGCAAUCACACAUCGGACUGCGCAAUCCAGAUGCGUGCAAAAUCGGAAGGCGUGUUUGGCACAAACAUCACCAAUCCGCAGAAUAGAACAGAACAGAAAACUAGGGUCGACCCAUACGCCUCCCACAACAAAACACCAAAUGGCCAACUCCCACCGGAGCACAAAAUGGAGACGCCGUGGACUGAUCACACCGCCACGGAAGGUGUCAUGCCUCGGUGCCAAGAGGACAUGCCUGUGGUACCCCCACAGGUGGUUAUAGCUCAGGUAUACCCUACGGUAUUCUAACAAAAAUAUCAUGUCACAACACAUGCGACACAAUAUCAACACAAAUGGGUUAUAACGUGUACAUGUUAAACUAGAACGAGAUAUCAACACAAAGUCUCCAAAAAUAUUAACAUGUACAUUACUAAAAAUAUCAAAAUAAAUUUAGACAUGUUGUACUAGUCUACAGAGUGCAAAUAUGAGUUCCAACUAUGAACGCCAAACGAGUUUAUCACAGUGAAUUUGACAAGAAAUAAUCAUAAGAGGCAAUACUAAUUUUCAAAACGCAUAACGAAACGAAUAAAUUAAAAACAAAAGAGUCUCGCUGCAAGAGUACGGAAUCCGUACCUGGAUUAAGCAAUGUAAUAUCCAAAAUUUAAAUUCCAAAUUAUAAUAAUCCCCUUCAAGUCAAUCUAAUAAAAUAAAAUAAAUUUAUUACAAAUUUACCCAUUAGCAACAAGAUACUAUUAAAUUGAUUAUCGAGUAAAUUUUACAAUAUUAUCAACAAGAUUAACGAGUUUAAAUUAAUAUACAUAACUUUCAAUUUAAUUUAUUAAUUCUGAUUUAUAAGUUUUAUGGCCAAAUACUUAUUAAAAUAUAAUAUAAAUAUAAUACACGAACAAAACAAAAAAGAUUAAAAAAAAUAAUAAUAAAUAAAGUGAAAACGUCACCUGCAAUGAUGCAGGUUGAUGGAUAAAUCUAAUUCUUAUAUAUAUAAUAAUAAUGUAAUGAUGGUCUUGCUGCACUAGGUAUAUAUACAUAUAUAUUACAUAUAUAGAAUAACCUGUAGCCAAACUUUAUAUAUAUAACGUCAAAAGCAGUAAUAUACCUAAUAAAACAUCAAAACUUGACUGUCAUGAAAUGCAUAUACAUAUAUAACUAUCAAUUCUUAAUUCUUAUGCCAUACCAGUAUAAUUCGAUCGUCUCUUUCCUUUGUUUAGCUGCUGCGGCUGUAUUCUCUUUUCUCAGUCGGUAUAACGAAAGUGAGAUUAGGUUUUGUUAUAUGUUUAUUUAUUAACAAAUUUUAUUAAUUAAUAUAUUUCACUAACUCUCCUAAUUUAAUAGGAUUUUAAAAUUACACAAUUAUAAAUUAGACCCACUUAGUUUUAAGCCCAAUUUUACCAAUUAAUUUAUCCACACUUAUUAAUAUUUAUAAGCCCAUAUAAAUUAAAGAUCACUUGACCCAAAUAAAAUACAAAGUCCAAUUAAUAUGCUUUUAACAUAAAACAAAAUAAUAAUUUAAUUUUUUUUUUGGGUAUUACAAAUAUACCCUUGAGAAAUUGAAAACUAUAUUGAAUACCUUUUUGCUAUAUUACUUAUUGGGCAAAAUUGUUUCUCAUCCUUGUUUUCCCUAAAACUUUCAGUGAAGGCAGAACGCGUGGUGAACCCUCUGGCAAGGACAAGGGUAAAGAGAAGGCUUUGGAGUAGUUAUUUAUAUGAUGCUAGUGAUGUAUUAUUAUUUAGUUAUAGAAGAACUUAUUAACCUAUAUAUAAGCUAAGUAGUAUUGUAUUAUGUAUCAGUUAUGACAACACGGUGUUUAAUUAUGGUUAAGUUAUGUAAGAGAUGUUUAAGUUUCGAACCCUUGGGACGAGAAUAAUUAGGUUAUACCAAUGUAAAUUAUUCUAUUAUUUCGUUGUAUAAGAUGUUGAUUUAUUACUAAAGUUAGUACGUGGCAACCAAAUUUGAGACAAGUGUGGUCUGAAUUUGGGGGUGUCAUGUGACGCCCCCAAAAUAGGUCCAUUCCAGCCAACCCAUUCUGAGUCGCCAAAUACAUGGUACAGAAAUAACUACAACUUCAAUAAUACAAAUGUCGUGUGAAAUACGACAAUACAUACUGUGAGUUUAAAUACAGAUAUUGCCGUCUAGACAAUAUCCACACGCAAAUAAAUCCCCAUCAUAAUUAUUGAUACAUUAUUUUACAAAAAUGGUGAGGACUACUAAACAACUCUCUCUAGAACCUUCAUUCCAUACCCCGACUCGAUCCUGCUAUGUUCUCACCUCCUGAGAAGAAAAUGGAACAACAAGGAAAAGGGUGAGCUCAACUAGCCCAGUAAAGAAUAUUAUGACUAAGAUAAUAUACAACAAAUUAUCGUUAGUCUUCAACAGGGAAAAAUCUAAUAGAAUACAAUAGACAACAAGUUUUAGAUCAACAAAUGCAGCGGAAACAGCAAUCCAUUAGAAGAGUCACGUAGAGAAAGAAUUCUACUGUCUUCUAAGNNNNNNNNNNNNNNNNNNNNNNNNNNNNNNNNNNNNNNNNNNNNNNNNNNNNNNNNNNNNNNNNNNNNNNNNNNNNNNNNNNNNNNNNNNNNNNNNNNNNNNNNNNNNNNNNNNNNNNNNNNNNNNNNNNNNNNNNNNNNNNNNNNNNNNNNNNNNNNNNNNNNNNNNNNNNNNNNNNNNNNNNNNNNNNNNNNNNNNNNNNNAAAAAAAUAAUUAUGCGACUUUUUAAUUUAUUUAUGAUGUUAGAAAUUAAUUAAUUAAAAUGUUACGUAACUAAUUUUUUAACAAUCAACCGUUGUCAUCUUUUAACUAAUUUUUUUAAUUUUGAUGAGUUUUAGAAUUUAUCAAGAUUCGUAUAUAUCAUAUACUAUAUCUAUAUAAUAUAAUAUAUAUAUAUAUAUAUAUAAUAUUAAAAAUCAAAAUUUACUGUUUGAUUUUUCAAAGUCAUAACGGGAUAUUCCUAUAAUAAAAGUUGUGUAGUUUAUCUAAUUUUAAUAAUUUUAGUAAAAAAAAAUAUAAACAGUUUAUAAUGUUAAUAAUUAUAUUUUCUAAAAUUAGAUUAAUUUAUAUUUAUUUUAAGUUAAAAUUUAUCGGAGAGUUUUGCGACUUUUUAAUUUUCCAUAAAAUCUCUUUGCAAUUCUUUUACUGGCGAUUUGAAUUUUUACCUUUGUGUUUGAUAUUUGGAAGUCUUUAGAGAUGAGGUCAGACUUUGGAUAUGAGUUGAUAGUUAUAAGUUUUCUUCUAAAGUCUGUCAAACUCCACCAUUUAAUAGAAAUCUGAAAAAUCAAUGACUUUUUGAAUACCAAAAUACUUUUAUAGACUUUAUAAAAGUCUCAAUUCAAUACCACAUAACUUUUACAGACAUUACAAAAGUUGUAAUUGAAUACCAGUAAACUUUUAUAAACUCUUUAUAAAUGUCUUGAUUGAAUACAACCAUACUUUUAAAGUCUUUAAAAAUCUUAAUUGAAUACACCCUCCUAAAAAAAUAUUAAGUUGUAAGUUUAUUAGGGGUGUCACGACAAUAAAAUUAUGAUAGCAAACUUGAGGUCCUCAUGCCAUUUUAUACUACCAUCAAUAAAAAAAAUGAUUCUUUUUGUGCAACAAUUUUUUUUUUUUGGACAGAUGAGGCUAUUUUUGUGGCAUUAACAAAAUCAGCUAUGGUAAUACAUACAUAUAUAAGUUUAAGGUACAAUCAGCUAAAAACUUAGCAAAUAACAAAUUAUUCAUUGUUCUAAUUAAUGUAAUAAAAGUAAAUUACUCAAUUCAACUUUUUGGAGACUUACCGCUUGUAUUUCGGCCGAAUUAGAUAGGCAAGGACUAGAAUUAAUGGAGCAAACGACUGCAGUUCGCCGGUGAAACAGUGCUGGUAGCUCCGGCGAAGUGAACGGCGGCGGACGGCGCCUCAAGGCGGCCGGUUGAAUUGGGGGAAUUGUCGAUUCAAGUAUAAUGGCGGCCAUUGUUUCUUUCUUUAGAUUGAUGUUGAGUAGCUUACAGAGACGGUGGAGUGGAUUUUGGUUAGUAAUUUGGGGGUUGGAUUGGAUAGAGGGGUUU